rnacentral:rRNA from 1 species
AUGGCGACCGGCGCACGGGUGAGUAACACGUAUCCAACCUGCCGAUGACUCGGGGAUAGCCUUUCGAAAGAAAGAUUAAUACCCGAUGGCAUAGUUCUUCCGCAUGGUAGAACUAUUAAAGAAUUUCGGUCAUCGAUGGGGAUGCGUUCCAUUAGCUUGUUGGCGGGGUAACGGCCCACCAAGGCAUCGAUGGAUAGGGGUUCUGAGAGGAAGGUCCCCCACAUCGGAACUGAGACACGGUCCAAACUCCUACGGAAGGCAGCAG